UACAGAGGGUGCGAGCGUUGUUCGGAAUUAUUGGGCGUAAAGAGCUCGUAGGCGGCUUGUUGCGUCGACUGUGAAAACCCGCGGCUUAACUGCGGGCUUGCAGUUGAUACGGGCAGGCUAGAGUUCGGUAGGGGAGACUGGAAUUCCUGGUGUAGCGGUGAAAUGCGCAGAUAUCAGGAGGAACACCGGUGGCGAAGGCGGGUCUCUGGGCCGAUACUGACGCUGAGGAGCGAAAGCGUGGGGAGCGAACAGG
rnacentral:rRNA from 1 species